rnacentral:rRNA from 1 species
UACGGAAGGGGCAAGCGUUGUUCGGAAUCAUUGGGCGUAAAGGGCGCGUAGGCGGCCACCGAAAGCCGGUUGUGAAAUCUCUGGGCUUAACCCAGAAAGGUCAACCGAUACUGCGGGGCUAGAGUGCAGAAGGGGCAACUGGAAUUCUCGGUGUAGCGGUGAAAUGCGUAGAUAUCGAGAGGAACACCUGCGGCGAAGGCGGGUUGCUGGGCUGACACUGACGCUGAAGCGCGAAAGCUAGGGGAGCGAACGGG